CCAUUGCUCAGUUGGUAGAGCGCAAGGAUCUUAACCUUGUGGACGUGGGUUCAAGCCCCAUGGUGGG
rnacentral:tRNA from 1 species